rnacentral:rRNA from 2 species
UGGGCGUAAGCGCGCGCAGGCGGUUUCUUAAGUCUGAUGUGAAAGCCCACGCCUCUACCGUGGAGGGUCAUUGGAAACUGGGGAACUUGAGUGCCUAAGAGAAAAGCGGAAUUCCACGUGUAGCGGUGAAAUGCGUAGAGAUGUGGAGGAACACCAGUGGCGAAGGCGGCUUUUUGGUCUGUAACUGACGCUGAGGCGCGAAAGCGUGGGGAGCGAACAGGAUUAGAUACCCUGGUAGUCCACGCCGUAUCCGAUGAGUGCUAAGUGUUAUAGGGUUUCCGCCCUUUCCUGCUGCAGCUAACGCAUGAAGCACUCGGCC